UACGUAGGUGGCAAGCGUUGUCCGGAUUUACUGGGUGUAAAGGGCGUGCAGCCGGAGAGACAAGUCAGAUGUGAAAUCCACGGGCUCAACCCGUGAACUGCAUUUGAAACUGUUUCCCUUGAGUGUCGGAGAGGUAAUCGGAAUUCCUUGUGUAGCGGUGAAAUGCGUAGAUAUAAGGAAGAACACCAGUGGCGAGGGCGGAUUACUGGACGAUAACUGACGGUGAGGCGCGAAAGCGUGGGGAGCAAACAGG
rnacentral:rRNA from 1 species